rnacentral:rRNA from 1 species
CCUACGGGGGGCAGCAGUCGAGAAUCAUUCACAAUGGGGGAAACCCUGAUGGUGCGACGCCGCGUGGGGGAAUGAAGGUCUUCGGAUUGUAAACCCCUGUCAUGUGGGAGCAAAUUAAAAAGAUAGUACCACACGAGGAAGAGACGGCUAACUCUGUGCCAGCAGCCGCGGUAAUACAGAGGUCUCAAGCGUUGUUCGGAAUCACUGGGCGUAAAGCGUGCGUAGGCUGUUUCGUAAGUCGUGUGUGAAAGGCGCGGGCUCAACCCGCGGACGGCACAUGAUACUGCGAGACUAGAGUAAUGGAGGGGGAACCGGAAUUCUCGGGGUAGCAGUGAAAUGCGUAGAUAUCGAGAGGAACACUCGUGGCGAAGGCGGGUUCCUGGACAUUAACUGACGCUGAGGCACGAAGGCCAGGGGAGCGAAAGGGAUUAGAUACCCUUGUAGUC